ACGCUCGACACCUACGAGAGGCAGCAGUGAGGAAUAUUGGUCAAUGGACGCAAGUCUGAACCAGCCAUGCCGCGUGCAGGAUGACGGCUCUAUGAGUUGUAAACUGCUUUUGUACGAGGGUAAACGCAGAUACGUGUAUCUGUCUGAAAGUAUCGUACGAAUAAGGAUCGGCUAACUCCGUGUCAGCAGCCGCGGUAAUCUGAGCGGGCUGGCAAGGC
rnacentral:rRNA from 1 species